rnacentral:tRNA from 1 species
UGCAUCGGCCGGGAAUCGAACCCUGGUCGCCCGCGUGGCAGGCGAGCAUUCUACCACUGAACCACCGAUGC